rnacentral:rRNA from 1 species
GUGAGGAAUAUUGGUCAAUGGGCGGAAGCCUGAACCAGCCAUGCCGCGUGCAGGACGACGGCCCUACGGGUUGUAAACUGCUUUUCCGGGGGAAGAAUAACCCCCCUGCGGGGGGGGAUGCCGGUACCCCGGGAAUAAGCAUCGGCUAACUCCGUGCCAGCAGCCGCGGUAAUACGGAGGAUGCGAGCGUUAUCCGGAUUUAUUGGGUUUAAAGGGUGCGCAGGCGGGAUUUUAAGUCAGCGGUGAAAUUUUCAGGCUCAACCUGAACACUGCCGUUGAAACGGGGAUUCUUGAGUAUGGAUGAAGUAGGCGGAAUUCGUUGUGUAGCGGUGACAUGCUUAGAUAUAACGAGGAACUCCGAUUGCGUAGGCAGCUUACUAAGCCAUAACUGACGCUCAAGCACGAAAGCGUGGGGAUCAAACA